rnacentral:rRNA from 1 species
CCGGCAACCGGCGCACGGGUGAGUAACACGUAUGCAACCUGCCCGUCUCAGGGGGAUAAUCGUCGGAAACGGCGUCUAAUACCCCGUAUGAAGCUGGACGGCAUCGUCUGGUUUUGAAAGAAUAUCGGAGACGGAUGGGCAUGCGGCGCAUUAGCUAGUUGGCGGGGUAACGGCCCACCAAGGCGACGAUGCGUAGGGGUUCUGAGAGGAAGGUCCCCCACACUGGUACUGGGACACGGACCAGACUCCUACGGGAGGCAGCAG